rnacentral:rRNA from 1 species
UACGAAGGGGGCUAGCGUUGUUCGGAAUUACUGGGCGUAAAGCGCACGUAGGCGGACAUUUAAGUCAGGGGUGAAAUCCCAGAGCUCAACUCUGGAACUGCCUUUAAUACUGGGUAUCUUGAGUUCGAGAGAGGUGAGUGGAAUUCCGAGUGUAGAGGUGAAAUUCGUAGAUAUUCGGAGGAACACCAGUGGCGAAGGCGGCUCACUGGCUCGAUACUGACGCUGAGGUGCGAAAGCGUGGGGAGCAAACAGG